GGUCGUUAGCUCAGUUGGUAGAGCAGUUGACUUUUAAUCAAUUGGUCGCAGGUUCGAAUCAACGUGAAGGAUAACG
rnacentral:tRNA from 1 species